rnacentral:lncRNA from 1 species
GAGCCUCUCUCCUAAUUGUGUCUCACAGAUGCAUAGUGAGGAGGUUAUUCAGCUUGUAUUUACAUCAUUACCCAUCUACCAUCAGAGUGUAUUGCUAACUGGUUCUCCUUACAAAUGCUUGUUGUGUUUGUUUUGUGUUUUUAAUUUUAUGUUCCACUGCUUGUCUACUUUUUCAUUGUUUUUAAUCCAAACUUCUACUUCAGCCUCUGCUCAUGAAGUCUCCCUCUCCCGAGUCCUUUGGGCUGCAAUAAUCAGACUCAAGCUGAGUGGAGACACACACUGAACAGAUGACAUGCCAGCCAAACUUGCCCCAAAAGUUGGGGAGGGAAAUGGUGCUCAACUGAAGGCAGCUGCUCUUGGGAGAGUCUUGACAGAGACCUCUGCAGCGAUAGUGCCUGGCAUCAGUGAUUGACGGGGAGCCAUCUGAUCAACUUUUGUUUCUGAAGGAAAACCCUGAGGAAACUCACUACCAUCCUCAGUGGCUGGUGGAUGGAUAAAGAGGUGGAAAGCAAGUUGAGUGAGCAGAAACUAUGAAGAGCCAUGAGCAGUUCCGGGGGAGCAGCUGCGAGCAUCAUGGAAGGCCUCUGCCCUGUCGGAGAAGCCGGGAUCCUCUUCAGCUUGGACACUACAUCAGUGACACUGGCAUCUCCCCCAUGCCAGGUGUCCAGAUUAAUCAGGAGACCAUUGUAGAUGAGGCAUCGCUCUAGGACCUGGUACCUGCUUGUGCUUUGUCCAGAACUGAGCUCAGAACUUGCCCAGUUCUACCACAUGUCUGAAAACUUCUUCCUUCCUGUCCACAUCAUUCCGUAGUUGUCUCUGAGAUAUGUCUAUUUACAAGAAGAUACUCUGAAAAGGGCCAAGUCAGAAAUGACAUCUUGAUGUAUCCAGCCAGCCAGCAGUCUCAGUAGCCACUAAAAAAUUAGGUCAGUAGUUAAAAAUACUUUUACAAAGAAAAGCCCAGGCUUGGAUAGUUUUAUAAGAAUUACACCAAACAUUCAAGGAAUAGUUAAUAGUUCAUUCAAAUCUUAUACAAAUUCUUUCAGAUAAUAAAAAAAGAAAAAGAAAAACUCCUUAGCAAAUAUGUGAGAUAAAUAUAAACACAAUAUGAAAUUCACAUAGAGAUAAUUCGAGACAGGAAAAAUGAUUUACUCAUGAACAUAAAUGCAAAAAUCCUUUAAAAAUAUUGGCAAACUGAAUCCAAGAAUAUGUGAAAAAUAUAACACACCAUGAUAAAUUUGCAUCAUCCUAUAAAUGCAAAAUAUAUUUUGUAUUAAAAAAUCUAGUUUAGUUCAUGAAAUUAACAAAUUAAAUAAUUAUUUCAAUACUAUUAGAUAAACUUUAAACAUAUGUGGUCUCCUAGCUCUCCAAAGACCUCAUACUAAAAUAAUAGUUCUUCUUAAUAGAAGGAGCAAGGAAUUAUUGUUCCCAAAUGUUUUUACACACCUCCCCGCUAUGAGAGAAGUGUACUUCCUGGUUGGCUGACAUCCAGCCUGGGCCAUGUGACUUGCUCUGCCAGGAGUAGCAGGAAAGCAGAAAUGAUGUCUAUUAAGUCUUGAAAGAGGCUUUAAGAGCUAAUACACUCUUCUCCCACAUCCCCUCCUCAAGGGUCUCACUCCUAAAUAAAUGUUACUUUUUCAACUUCCAUCCCAGAAUAAAAAAGCAUGUGGAGCAGAAAUGGAACAGAGUAGAGGCCAGCUCAGUUUCCAUGUUAUAAAACCAAAUAGACAUCUUUGUUGCAGUAAGCCCCCAUGAUCUGGAUGUUGUUUGCUAUCACAAUAUAACUUACUCUGUGAUGAUUGCUAUUUUAAAAAGAGUACCUACCAAAAAUUUGUAGCGCAAACCAUACUUACUAAUAAAAAAUUAACCUUACUCCCUUUAAAAUAAAAAACAACAGUGAUGCCUUUGAUUCAACAUUGUGCAGUAAGAUAAGGAAAAAUAAAAUGUAGGAAUUAUAAAAGGAAAUACUAAGCUUUGGUUAUUUGCAGGUAAUAUGAUUGUUUAUAUAGAAACUCCUCAAGAAUAUGGACAUAAUUUAACAAAACAGAGCACCUAAAAUACCAACAAAAUCAUAAUACAUCCAGGAAUAAAUCUAACAAAAUUUGUGCAAGACUUCUUUGAAAUUAUAUAUGUUAUUAAAAUACAUUAAAGUAAACGUAAAUAAAUGCAUAUAUUAUUUAUCUAUUUAUUUAUUUAUUAUUAUUAUUUUUUUUUGAGAUGAGGUCUCACUAUGUUGCCCAGGUUGGUCUCGAACUCCUGGGCUCAAGUGAUCUGUUCACCUUGGCCUCCCAAAAUGCUGGGAUUACAAGCAUGAGCCACCACACCUGGCCUUAUAUUUAUUUUGUAUACAUAUAAUAUUUGUGAUAGAAGGACACAAUAUAUUAAAAGUUUGGUCAUUCUCUUCAAAUUGCUCUAUAAAUAAAAUGCAAUUCCUUUCAAAUUCAAUCCAGAGCUGUUUGCAGAACUUGAUAAGCAGAUUCUAAAAUUUUUAUGGAAAAAUGAAGCACAAGAAUAGCUGAAACACCCCUGUAGAGGAUGAACAGGAUGAGGCGAGCUGUUUUGCCAGUUUUCAUUGCCCUGUGUAUAUAAUAAAGCUUUGAUUAAUUAAGAGAGCAUAAUAUGGCACAGGAACAUAGGAUAGACCAGUGGAUCAGCACAGAGCGUGUAGAAACAAGCCCACACAUAAAAUGAAAUCUAGUAUAUAACUGGAAUGUCACUGCGGAUCAGUAAGAAUGGGUUGCUCAAUAAAUGAUGCUAUGAUCAUUUGUUUUCUAUAUGGACAACAACAACACAAAAAAGAAUACACAAAAAUAAAUAAAAGGGAAAAAGAUUUAGAUAUGGAAACCACAAACUUAAGACUUUGGGGAAAAAUAUAGAAUAUUUCUAUGAUCUUGGAGCAGGAAAAAAAUGAUGAAAACAAGACCCGAAAAGCACAAAUAUAAAUGAAAAGAUAAGAAAGUUAACUGAGUUAAAAUUAAUAACACUUCUUAAUCAAAAGAUUCCUAAAUGCAAAGAUAAGCAAAAAGGAAAAGUCUGCCUCCCCCAAAAGCAGUGGUAAAACAUAGGAAUAAACACUUCACAGAAGAGUCAGCCCAAAUAGCUAUUAAAUAAAUGAAAAAUGUUCAACCUUUUAAAUAAUGAAGAUGUUGCAAGAUAAAACCACAAUAAGUUAAAGUUUUAUACUAAAAUGUUGGUAAGGAUGGAGAUCACUGCAAAACAAACUGUAUAUAUAUAUAUAUAUAUAUAUAUAUAUAUAUAUAUAUAUAUAUAUAUAUAUAUGCUAUGUAGCUUUCUACAACCACUCUGUAUAACAAUUUGGUCAUAGUAAAGUAAAAAUAUGCAUAUCCUAUGACCAGGAAAUCUCACACACACACACACACAAAAUGCACAUGCUUAUGUGUACACACAAUCCCUAAAAAUACCCUUGAACAGGGGCACCCAGAGAUAUGUACAAGUAUAUUCAUAGAACCAUUAUGUGUGCUUAGCUACUAUUACAACCAUUAACACGGUUGAAGCCCGCAAACAAAAAAUUAAUGAAAAAGCAAGAUGCAGGAUACACAUACUAUGGUUUAUAUAAAGAUCAAAAAAUAACAAAAGUAUACUGCAUAUGGUUGAGAAUAGCCAGGGCUGACUAUAUAAUUUUUAGGCUCAGGGCAAAAUGAAAAUGUGGGAUCCCUUUGUUCCAAAAGCAGGGGAAAAGCUUUUAUCUUUCUUUCAUGGUCUAUCUCUGUAGGAUAAUGGCCAUAGUAUCUUGAUAAUUCAUAGAAAAAAAAACUAUAUUAACUCUAAACAUUUGAAAAAGCACUCAACUUACAAAAUACACAAAGAAACCAUUUUUAACCCAUUGGAUUGACAAAUAGAAAAAAUUGAUAACACACUCUCUUACCAAGACACUCUCAAAUAGUGCUAAUGGAGAAAUGAAAGGACACAGCCAUUUUCAAUAAUAAUUUGUCAAUAUCUUUCAAAAUUUCACAUCAAAUACUCUUUGAUUCUAUGGGAACUUCUCCUAUAUGUUUGAAAUUAUACAUGUAAAAGGAUGUUAAUUGCAGCAUUUUAUAAUUCCAAAAGAUUGGAAAUACCCUAACUAGCCUAAAGCAAGAGAGAGGUCAUAUCUGGGUCUUUGGAAGGAUAAUGGAAUGAUAUGUUAUGCAACCAUUAAAAUAUUGAGGUAGGUCUGUCUGUGCUAAUAAAUGAUCAC